CCAAUAGCGUAUAUUAAAGUUGUUGCAGUUAAAAAGCUCGUAGUUGAAUUUCGGGAUCAAAAUGCUGGUCGUACCAUUGGUAUGUACUAGUAUUAUUGGUUUCUUCCUUCUGAUGAACCAUGAUGUCAUUAAUUUGAUGUCAUGGGGAAUCAGGACUGUUACUUUGAAAAAAUUAGAGUGUUUAAAGCAGGCUUGCGCUUGAAUACAUUAGCAUGGAAUAAUGAAAUAGGACGUUUGAUUCUAUUUUGUUGGUUUCUAGGAUUGACGUAAUGAUUAAUAGGGAUAGUUGGGGGCAUUAGUAUUCAAUUGUCAGAGGUGAAAUUCUUGGAUUUAUUGAAGACUAACUACUGCGAAAGCAUUUGCCAAGGAUGUUUUCAUUAAUCAAGAACGAAAGUUAGGGGAUCGAAGACGAUCAGAUACCGUCGUAGUCUUAACCAUAAACUAUGCCGACUAGGGAUCGGAUGAUGUUAAUUUUUUAAUGACUCAUUCGGUGCCUUACG
rnacentral:rRNA from 1 species